CGCGGGUCGUCCGCGCCCGUUUUCCCCCCAAAAUUCGCGAACUCCACGAAAACUAAGUGCAAUAAUCGAAAACAUUCGAAUUUCAAAGUGUUAUUUUUUCGAAUUUGCGACGCCGACGUCCAUUUCGGCCAGUGUGUUUUGUUCGAAAAUAAUUUUUGGUGAUCUGUGUUUUGGACAUCCGCAGUUUUCAACUUACGUACUUGAAUCGAGGUGCGUGUCUUCAUUGCUGUGUGGAAAAGGAUUCAUCCAACAAAGAUCGUAGCGGCAGGCUCCGGUGAAGCCGGUAA